GAUGAACGCUGGCGGCGUGCCUAAUACAUGCAAGUCGAACGCUUUGUCUUUAAUUGAUAUGAAGAGCUUGCUCUGAUUUGAUUUUAUCUGACAAAGAGUGGCGAACGGGUGAGUAACACGUGGGUAACCUACCUCUUAGCAGGGGAUAACAUUUGGAAACAAGUGCUAAUACCGUAUAACACUAACAACCGCAUGGUUGUUAGUUGAAAGAUGGUUCUGCUAUCACUAAGAGAUGGACCCGCGGUGCAUUAGCUAGUUGGUAAGGUAAUGGCUUACCAAGGCGAUGAUGCGUAGCCGAGUUGAGAGACUGAUCGGCCACAAUGGGACUGAGACACGGCCCAUACUCCUACGGGAGGCAGCAGUAGGGAAUCUUCCACAAUGGGCGCAAGCCUGAUGGAGCAACGCCGCGUGUGUGAUGAAGGGUUUCGGCUCGUAAAACACUGUUAUAAGAGAAGAACGACAUUGAGAGUAACUGUUCAGUGUGUGACGGUAUCUUAUCAGAAAGGAGCGGCUAAAUACGUG
rnacentral:rRNA from 1 species